GAGCAUCAAGGUUCCGCCCCGACUGUCAGGAGCGGGGCAGCCCAGGUCCUGCCUUCUAGGAAAUCAAGACCCUGUAUAGUACUACUAAGGAUGACUUGAAAAUGGAAACAAUAAAUAAGGAGCUGAAGAAUUUAGCUGGAACUGACAUAAUACCGACUUUAUCUACUAUCAGUCUGAGAUAAUUCAAAAAGAAGGUCCCUGCCCUCUGGGGUGUGCAGAAGAUGUGGCAAAGACUGAUGUUGGACUAAUGAAUGCAGAUGACC